GGGCCCGUGGCACAGCUUGGUUAGCGCGCUCGGCUGAUAACCGGGAGGUCGCCGGUUCAAUGAAAGAGAGUUGCGACUUUCUUUCGGACAUAUCCGGCUGGGCCCACCA
rnacentral:tRNA from 1 species